AGUGAACGCUGGCGGCGUGCCUAAUACAUGCAAGUCGAACGGAGAUUAAGUAGCUUGCUAUUUAAUCUUAGUGGCGCACGGGUGAGUAAUAUAUAGCUAACUUGCCCAUUACUAAGGGACAACAGUUGGAAACGACUGCUAAUACCUUAUACUCCGUAUCUAUAUAAGUAGAUACGGGAAAGUUUUUCGGUAAUGGAUAGGGCUAUAUCGUAUCAGCUAGUUGGUAAGGUAAUGGCUUACCAAGGCUAUGACGCGUAACUGGUCUGAGAGGAUGAUCAGUCACACUGGAACUGAGACACGGUCCAGACUCCUACGGGAGGCAGAAGUAGGGAAUAUUGCUCAAUGGGGGAAACCCUGAAGCAGCAACGCCGCGUGGAGGAUGACACUUUUCGGAGCGUAAACUCCUUUUCUUGGGAAAGAAUUAUGACGGUACCCAAGGAAUAAGCACCGGCUAACUCCGUG
rnacentral:rRNA from 1 species